UAAAUGAGUUAAAUACCUAAUAAAAAAUGGAAAAAAAAAAAGGAUUAGAAAUGGCUCAAAGACAGCGUUGUUGACAAAGCCCACGUCAAUCUUCAUGGAUGAAAUCUCUUGGAAGCUGGAAUCCUGGAGCAUACUGCACAACCUGCAGGCAGCUCAACAGAUAGAAGAGUGACCUAUGUAUUUAGCUUGAUUGGUCUGAGUUUCAGCUUCUUGGGUGGUCUCUGCUUCAUCCAGAAAGCUCAGCUAGUUUCUGUUUCUUCCAGGUUACUUGACUGGUCCUCUGGUCCUCCUAGGAUGCUCCCCUAUUCAAAGCCUUUUUGAAAAGGCAGCUGGGCUUGUCUGAGUGUGUCUCCCAAGAGCCCUUCAUACUUAUUUAUUCUGGAGGGCAGGGAACCUCAGGAAUCUGGUCGGUUUCGAGGGCUUUCUGAAGACUGAGUUGUUUACUUCAUGAUAAAGAACUAAGCCAAACAGUUUGUAUUUAUACAUUUAUUAUAUAUAAUAUAUGUAGGUAAAAGUGAUUAAUUAAUAAAAGAAGAGGCCAUGGAUUUGAAAGAAAUGAGGGGACUAUAGGAGAGUUUGGAGUAAGGAAAGGGAAGAAGGAAAUGAUGUAAUUAUAUUAUAAUCUUAAAAUGGAGAAGAAAUAAUAUUAAAAAGAGAUAAAAGAAUAUUUACCUCCUGUACUGGCUAGUUUUGUGUCAACUUGACACAGCUGGAGUUAUCACAGAGAAAGGCGCUUCAGUUGAGGAAAUGCCUCCAUGAGAUCCAGCUGUAAGGCAUCUUCUCAAUUAGUGAUCAAGGGGGAAAGGCCCCUUGUGGGUGGGACCAUCUCUGGGCUGGUAGUCUUGGGUUUUAUAAGAGAGCAAGCUGAGCAAGCCAGAGUAAGUAAGCCAGUAAAGAACAUCCCUCCAUGGCUUCUGCAUCAGCUCCUGCUUCCUGAUCUGUUUGAGUUCCAAUCCUGACUUCCUUGGUGAUAAACAGCAGUAUGGAAAUGUAAACUGAAUAAACCCUUUCCUCCCCAACUUACUUCUUGGUCAUGAUGUUUGUGCAGGACUAAGACACCUCCUCUUAGAACAGUGGUUUUCAAUCCCUAGGCUGUUCCCCCUUUGAGGGUUGAAGGAUCCUUUCUCAGGUAUGUCACAUUAGACAUAUUUCAUAUCAGAUAUUUACAUUAAGAUUCAUAACAGUAUCAAGACUACAAUUAUUAAAUAGCAAUGUUAAUAAUUUUGUGUUUGGGGUCACCACAACCCGAGGAACUGUAUUAAAGGACUGAAGCAUUAGGAAGGUUAACAACCAGUGCUUAGAUCAUCCUGUCUUCAGGAGAUUCCUUGCAGUGUUGAGUGUUUUAUCUCCCUUUAGAACAUCCUGUGUCUGUGCGAUUGUCCCUCCAAGAUGGAUGAUUUAUUGUAUAGGAAAUUGCCAUACAACAACGUUGGAGCCUUAUGUACAGAAAACAGAAAAGAUAACUAAUGCUACAAAAGAUGUGAGUUAGCUAGAAGAUCCGUGCCCUUCUUUUGGUAACUCAUGGCCUCAGAGCAGGGACACUUGUAGAUUUAGAUACUGGAAUGCUUCUCAAUAUCUUAAUUAUCCUAUGUAAAAGUCCCAAGUAAAAGAUUCGUAAGUAAAAAUAGUAACAUAUAAUUAAACCUAGAGACAGAUUAUGGGACAAUUACUUAUUCUUCAAAUCUACUAUUAUCAUCAUAUUUCAAAUUCUAUUUCUUACCCAAAUACCUGCAUUAGGCUUCCUCCUUGGAUUUUUUUAUUUGUAGUUUUCUUUUCUUAUCAUUGUCUCAAUCUACUCUCCAAUUUGUUGGCAAAAUAGCCUUUCUAUAGAUCCAAUUAGAGCUUAUUCAUUUUCAGCCUUUGAAUAAGUCUUUGAAUUUUGUUUGCUUUGCAUUUUACUUUUGUCUAGCAAACUUGCUUCCCUCAUAAAACUCAAUUACUCUAGGGAUAUUUCUUGCUAACCUAAACCUUAAGCUUUUGCACUCCCACAGGUGUAUGUGCAUGUCCCUAGAUCCAGCUGUUCUACAUUUUAAUUGUUUCCUUAUCUAUACCCCUUUAGGUCAGUUAGCAAUUUGAAGGUCAUAUUUUUUAAUUAUCUAUUACCGAGCAUAUGACCUGAUAAUAGUAAAUGUUCCUUUGGAGUGAGUGAAUGGAUUAAUUAAACCUGAAUUAGGAAUGCUAGCAGACACUGUUGAUGGUUCUGUACAUAUGAGCACUGGCUACUCUUUCAGAGAACUGGUAUUGGUCCCCAGCACUCAUGUUAGAUUGCUCACAACUGACUAUAAUUUCAGUUCAAGGCUCAGUGUCCUCCUCUGGCUUCCACAGACACAUGCACAUACUUAUGAACACACACACACACACAUGGGGAGUGGGGGGCACACAUGCACGCAUACACAAUAAAAGUUAAAUUAACUUUUUAUAAAAGGAAGUGCUGGUACUUUAGAAGCAGGAUCAUAAAUUUAUAGGCACUCUUCUGGGAGAGUUGGGGAAUCCUAGCAAAUUUGUGUUGCUAAUUUCAUAGAGAUGAUAUAUUAGUUAGGUCCCUUUGCUUGUAAUUGACAAAAUUAAGCACAAUAUUACUUUUCCAAAAAUUAUGAAAUCCCAUAGAAAUUAAUUGCAAUGAAAAUUAGAUGAAAUCAUGAUUCAAAAGAAUGAUAAAGUAUUCAUGAAAAAAGAUAACAUGACUAAAUUCUUAGAAAAAUUCAAAAAUAAUACUAAUAUCUAAAUUUAAUAUGAAUUUUUCUUUUCAGCUGAAUAUUAUUCCACAUUGUAUGUACUCCACAUUAUCUUCCUUACCUGUUAACCAGGUGAAAGACAUUUAGGUUUUCUCAUCUAGUAGUUGUUGUGAGUAGAGCAGCAAAGAACAUGAACAUGAGUAUCUGUGUUUGGCAUGUUGAAUCUUUUGUUCAUAUACCAAGGUUGGGUCAUAUAUUAGACUUAUUUUAGCUAUCUGAUGAUUCUCCACAUUGUUUUCCAUAGUGGUUAGGCUAGUUUGCAACCCACCAAUAGUGAAAGAUGGUUCGUUUUCACUCUACUUCUUUUCCUGCCUUUCCAGUCAGUUGCUUUCUAUAGCAUAUAUAAAAGAAUAGCUCAAAGACAUGCAAAUGCUGAAAAAAAACAAAGUGAAUAUUUAAAACUUAAAAGUAAAGUAAGUAAAAUAAAACACAUAGAUAUGACACAAUAAGUAUUACUAAAAUGUUUAAAGGUUAAAUGAGUUCAGAAUAUAACAUCUGCUGUGUUUUUAAUAGACUAAUGGCUCCUAGAAUCCACUUGUCAGAGGCUUGUUUCCCUGGGAAGUACUAUUAGGAGAUGUCAUGAAUCUUUGUUGAAGGAUUGAAGGGAGGUUCUUCAGUCAUUGUGGGGAUGUCCUGAGACCUUCAAAACUUUCUGUCUUGAUCUGUUUCCUGCAUUAUGAAGUUAAUGAAGCAAAUAAGUUUCUGUUUUGUGCUCACACUAUGAUGUAUUUCCUUGCCUGUCAUC
rnacentral:lncRNA from 1 species